CAUCUACUCCCUCUGUUCGGAAUUACUUGUCGCAGAAAUGGAUGUAUCUAGAUGUAUUUUAGUUCUAGAUACAUCCAUAUCCAAGACAAGUAAUUCCGAACGGAGGGAAUAGUAU
rnacentral:pre_miRNA from 1 species